ensembl:lncRNA
GCUAGAUGAGGAAGGGCUAGAUGAGGAAGGGCUAGAUGAGGAAGGGCUAGAUGAGGAAGGCUAGAUGAGGAAGGCUAGAUGAGGAAGGGCUAGAUGAGGAAGGCUAGAUGAGGAAGGGCUAGAUGAGGAAGGCUAGAUGAGGAAGGGCUAGUUGGGCAGGGCUAGAUGAGGAAGGCUAGAUGAGGAAGGCUAGAUGAGGAAGGCUAGUUGGGCAGGGCUAGAUGAGGAAGGCUAGAUGAGGAAGGGCUAGUUGGGCAGGGCUAGAUGAGGAAGGGCUAGAUGAGGAAGGCUAGAUGAGGAAGGCUAGUUGGGCAGGGCUAGAUGAGGAAGGCUAGAUGAGGAAGGCUAGAUGGGAAGGGCUAGAUGAUGAAUGCUAGUUGGGAAGGGCUAGAUGAUGAAGGCUAGAUGAUGAAGGGCUAUGUGAGGAAGG